rnacentral:rRNA from 1 species
AACGCGAAGAACCUUACCAGGGCUUAAAUGGGAGAUGACAGGAGCAGAGACGCUCUUUUCUUCGGACAUCUUUCAAGGUGCUGCAUGGUUGUCGUCAGCUCGUGCCGUGAGGUGUCAGGUUAAGUCCUAUAACGAGCGCAACCCCUACCGUUAGUUGCCAGCAUGUAAAGAUGGGGACUCUAACGGGACUGCCGGUGCAAACCGUGAGGAAGGUGGGGGUGACGUCAAAUCAUCACGGCCCUUACGUCCUGGGCUACACACGUGCUACAAUGGCCGGUACAGAGGGAAGCUACCCUGCAAAGGGAUGCGGAUCUAUAAAGCCGGUCACAGUUCGGAUCGGGGUCUGCAACUCGACCCCGUGAAGCUGGAAUCGCUAGUAAUCGGAUAUCAGCCAUGAUCCGGUGAAUACGUUCCCGGGUCUUGUACACACCG